GAGGAAUAUUGGUCAAUGGGCGAGAGCCUGAACCAGCCAAGUCGCGUGAAGGAAGAAGGUUCUAUGGAUUGUAAACUUCUUUUGCAGGGGAAUAAAGGACGGUACGUGUACUGUUUUGUAUGUACCUUGCGAAUAAGGAUCGGCUAACUCCGUGCCAGCAGCCGCGGUAAUACGGAGGAUCCGAGCGUUAUCCGGAUUUAUUGGGUUUAAAGGGUGCGUAGGUGGAUUGUUAAGUCAGUGGUGAAAGUUUUCAGCUCAACUGAAAAAUUGCCGUUGAAACUGUCGAUCUUGAGUGCAAAUGAGGUAGGCGGAAUGUGUUGUGUAGCGGUGAAAUGCUUAGAUAUAACACAGAACUCCGAUUGCGAAGGCAGCUUACUGGGAUGCAACUGACACUGAUGCACGAAAGCGUGGGUAUCAAAC
rnacentral:rRNA from 1 species